UACGUAGGGGGCAAGCGUUGUCCGGAUUUAUUGGGCGUAAAGAGCUCGUAGGUGGUUCGGUAAGUCGGAUGUGAAAUCUCCAGGCUCAACCUGGAGGGGUCAUUCGAUACUGCCGUGACUAGAGGUCGGUAGGGGAGUGUGGAAUUCCUGGUGGAGCGGUGAAAUGCGCAGAUAUCAGGAGGAACACCGGUGGCGAAGGCGGGUCUCUGGGCAGUAACUGACGCUGAGGAGCGAAAGCGUGGGGAGCGAACAGG
rnacentral:rRNA from 1 species